AUAUUUUAAUUUGGGUGAAAUAUAGAAUAAACAGUAGUUAAUACAAUAAAAGAAAAAAAUCUGUUCUUAUAAGUUUAAUACCUGAUAUGUCCCCAUCUGGGGACCAUAUAUUAAAUUGACUUUUAGAACAGGAAGAUGGAAUAGGGGCUUGCUCCGUCCACUCCACGCAUUGAGCUGGUAUUGAAACUUCCGUGAGCGGUGCACUUUCU
rnacentral:snRNA from 1 species